GACGAACGCUGGCGGCGUGCUUAACACAUGCAAGUCGAACGGAAAGGCCCUGCUUUUGUGGGGUGCUCGAGUGGCGAACGGGUGAGUAACACGUGAGUAACCUGCCCUUGACUUUGGGAUAACUUCAGGAAACUGGGGCUAAUACCGGAUAGGAGCUCCUGCUGCAUGGUGGGGGUUGGAAAGUUUCGGCGGUUGGGGAUGGACUCGCGGCUUAUCAGCUUGUUGGUGGGGUAGUGGCUUACCAAGGCUUUGACGGGUAGCCGGCCUGAGAGGGUAACCGGCCACAUUGGGACUGAGAUACGGCCCAGACUCCUACGGGAGGCAGCAGUGGCGAAUAUUGCACAAUGGGCGGAAGCCUGAUGCAGCAACGCCGCGUGCGGGAUGACGGCCUUCGGGUUGUAAACCGCUUUCGCCUGUGACGAAGCGUGAGUGACGGUAAUGGGUAAAGAAGCACCGGCUAACUACGUG
rnacentral:rRNA from 1 species